UUUCCGUAGGGGAACCUGCGGAAGGAUCAUUAUCGUACAAAAUGUGAGGGGCAUGCGUGUGCUGAAGCCGAUCUAAAAGUCGAGGACGCCCGAGUUUCUGCACUCGGAUGAGAAUUCGACACACCUGUUGUGCAUCACCGAGAGACAAAUCUUCAAGAUCUUCUCGGGGGGGGGCACGCGUUUUCACACCAAACCCCCUCUUACAAGUGUAGAGUGACAACACUUAUCUAAACUAGACAACUUUCAACAACACAUCUAUUGGCUCUCGUAUCGAUGAGA
rnacentral:misc_RNA from 1 species